GUUUUAAUCCUUUUUCAUAUAUAUUGGGGAUAAACUUAUUUUCUUCUAGGUGGAUGGUUAAUCCUGCAACUAACCCCUCAAUUGAUGAAGAUCAGCCCCCCCACUGACAUGCGCCCCUUGUUGUGGGAAGUUUCCAUCCCAGCCGGAUCCUGUGUGGGCCACUCUGCUUAGUCCAGGGCCAGCCCCGUUUGAGUUCCUGGCUCUGAAGUGUGCUUUACUGUCUGAGAAACAGGCCUCCAUUAACACUGGGAAAACAGUGCACCGAGGACAUUUAACGCCCCUGCUUCUCAACAGUCCUUUGAAGGAGCCUCUUCAGUCCCUUCUGCUGAUGAGGCUCCACCCAGACAAGGUCGGAGCAGCCCUGUGGGGACCUCAGCAUCAGUGUGGUCACCGCAGUCCAACCAGGCCGGACGAGAGGAAGAAUUACAAAAUGGCCACGAGGGUGGUGAUACGGAUGCACCGCACAUCCUUCCAUGAGACCAACUGAGAAAGAAGCGUUCGCACUUACUGUGGUUCAGCUGGAGCCUGCCCAACCCAAGCCGGAUGGGAACUGAGCAGGAGGAAGCUCGCCACCCACUCUGGGCCUGCCUGCCC